rnacentral:sRNA from 1 species
AGGCGAACGGGUGAGUAACACGUGAGUAACCUGCCCUUAACUCUGGGAUAAGCCUGGGAAACUANGUCUAAUACCGGAUAGGAGCGCCUACCGCAUGGUGGGUGUUGGAAAGAUUUAUCGGUUUUGGAUGGACUCGCGGCCUAUCAGCUUGUUGGUGAGGUAAUGGCUCACCAAGGCGACGACGGGUAGCCGGCCUGAGAGGGUGACCGGCCACACUGGGACUGAGACACGGCCCAGACUCCUACGGGAGGCAGCAGUGGGGAAUCUUUCAGCACAAUGGGCGAAAGCCUGAUGCAGCGACGCCGCGUGAGGGAUACCCCGGAUCUGCGGUGGGUACGGGCAGACUAGAGCAGAUUAGGGAAGAAGCGAAAGUGACGGUACCUGCAGAAGAAGCACCGGCUAACUACGUGCCAGCAGCCGCGGUAAUACGUAGGGUGCGAGCGUUAUCCGGAAUUAUUGGGCGUAAAGAGCUCGUAGGCGGUUUGUCGCGUCUGUCGUGAAAGUCCGGGGCUUAACCCCGGAUCUGCGGUGGGUACGGGCAGACUAGAGUGCAGGGGAGACUGGAAUUCCUGGUGUAGCGGUGGAAUGCGCAGAUAUCAGGAGGAACACCGAUGGCGAAGGCAGGUCUCUGGGUUCUAACUGACGCUGAGGAGCGAAAGCAUGGGGAGCGAACAGGAUUAGAUACCCUGGUAGUCCAUGCCGUAAACGUUGGGCACUAGGUGUGGGGAGCAUUCCACGGUUUCCGCGCCGCAGCUAACGCAUUAAGUGCCCCCCCUGGGGAGUACGGCCGCAAGGCUAAAACUCAAAGGAAUUGACGGGGGCCCGCACAAGCGGCGGAGCAUGCGGAUUAAUUCGAUGCAACGCGAAGAACCUUACCAAGGCUUGACAU